UCAAGUAACUGCUGCAUAUAAAGAAAAGCCAAGCUACAUUUCUAUCAUAUAUAAAUCAUUUUCACUACAACACACAUUGAACGUCUACCGUAUAUAUCGAUUUUUUUUUUGUAUAUAGAGAAUAGUUCCAUGGAUGUCCAUCAAUUCUACUACGUUUUUGUCUUGGCCAUUCCAACUUUGAUAGCAGCGAAAGAUGUGCUGGAGUCAAUACACUGCAAUGAAGAAAGAGAAGGAGGAGUCACUGAAGUCAAUGUCAUAGCAAAGACAGACUUUUAUAUCACUAAAGGUUAUUCAACAAUUUUUGAAUGUGAAAAUUGGAAAUGCUCAAAUCUUGCAAGGCGCUUAAAUGAAAGCUUGAGCUUUACAUUAGACACUACAAAAGAUUUUUACAAUCUCACAAUAUUUAUAAGAAAUACAACGCGAGAAAAGGCGGCUGGAAUGUUUUCAAUUGUAAAGAUAGAUGUACCUCCGACUGUCAUGGUCGAAUGCAAUGUUUUUGAAAAUGUUGACAACAUAAUCUGCACUGUAAGAAAUGUCUCUAAAGUAUUUCUGAUCAAUUGUUUGGCUCCUCUGGUCUCCUACUUGCCAACGUGUUCUUUCAAAGUACCAUCGCCUCAACAAGAUUCUAAUGUGACAUUAAAGAGUUUUAUAGAUCUAAAGGCCGAUCAGGUUAUUGUAAAAAACAUCCCGAAUAGUGCCUACAAUGUAACAUGUCAGCUGAGUAUCAAUGUGACUCAGGCUGGAAUCUAUAAUUACUUUGUAACUAUUUACCCAAACAAACCUGGAGGAAAAGAGAAAUACGGAACAACAAUGGAACGUCUGUUUGUUGCAGGUAAGCUUUUACUGUGUUAUUUUUAUUGGUAUGUCGAAAAACGAUUCCGAACAUUUGUUUAAAAUUUAUUAUUAUGGAUAUAUAUAUAUAUAUAUAUUUUAGGUGACUUCUAAUUAUGUUUCUUAAUAGAUAGAUUAAAAAAAUAGAAAGUUAGAAAACAUAGCUUGUUUUCUAAAUUUACGCUAGAUAGGACCUUAGACAAUAUGAAAUGCGACAGCUAACUUAUCUAACUGCUGAAUGUUUCUUACAAAGUUAAAACAUAGCUAAAAAAUAGGGCUACAUAACUAUUUUAAAAACAUUUUUAAAAUUAUCAAACCAUAUGCUUUGAUUGUAGUUUACAAUAUGGCGACCGAAUAUCAAGGGACAAAAAAUUUCAUUGACGUUUUUUUUUUCUGCUUCAUAACAUUCAUGGUCCUGACCUCUCUCGUAUAAUAAUGACCACUUCUCCCACUCGCCAUGGACGAUAAAAUCUAACCUGUUCUUUAUUAACGUAAGCCUAGGACAACUAAGCCAUUUUCAACAUCUAAACCAGAUGGAACUAUACUAAAGGAACGACGACUUCCAUUUUUAUUUUAAAAAAGCCGUAUAAAAAAAAGUUCUUUGCGCAUGUUCUCGCGCAUCCUGCAAUGCCUACAAAAUAGAAUGAUGGACACAAAGAAGGAUUUUAUGCCUCGAACUCGCGCAAUUUACCCUUGUUGCUUAGAAAAUGGGUUUUUUUUGGGCUUUUUAUAAACAGCUGGAUAAAAACUUUAUCCAUUUUCAGACAAGCUGUUAUGGUAGAUAUAAUUUUUUGAGUAAGAGAUUAUCAUAAAUGAUUUUAUUUUUAAUCACCCUUUGCGUCUAAGCAUAUGCUUCUGUUUUGAAGUUGCCGUUCGUUUAGUAAAUUCAUGUUAGGUAUUUAAUACUAGAUCUGAGUAAUUUUUUUAUUCACCUCUUAUACAUGUAGGCUUACUUAUAUAUAUUUAAAAAAACGAAAUCCGUAGAGAAUGUCAUUCCUAUCUCUCAUUAGUUUAAUUCAUUUUUGCAUAACAACAGCCACCAGUAAUUAAUACAAAACGUAGGCCUACAUAUAGGCCUAAUGUUAACGAAGUCAAUAAAGGUGUAAAUAAGAAAAGACCCAUUUUAUGAAAAAGUAAAUUUUUAUGAAUCUAUAAAUUAUAUAUAGUAUUAAGAGAUUUUUUGUAAAAUCUAUAUUUUGAAAACAAAAUUAAACAUAUUAGAUCUAUUCAAAGUAGACUUAUUCUCAGACGGUAUAUUUAGAUGCUAUUAUAUUUUUAGCAAUGUUUAUAAAAGUCGAGCUUAACUAUCCAUAUCUUUAGGAUAUUAGAAGCGGACAUUUUAAUUCUAGGCUAUAUUUAAAAAUAAUCAAACGAAAUCAACCUAAUUAAUGUAUCGAUAACAUAGCCGGGGAGGGGGUUCAACUUUAAUGUUGCAUAAAGAGACGGGGGGAGACGGACUUAAGUGACUGAUUUUUAGCGGCCCCAGUAAGGGGAAAAAGCCGCUACUAGGUUUGUGCAAAAUAUCCGUCUGUCCGUUUGUCACACUCAGAUCUUGAAAACUAGAAGAGAUAUGAAAAAUAUUAUUUCAUCAUUAAAUCCGGCUUGAAAAGUUUAGGUGCAACGGCUACUUUUGGUUUUCUAAAAGCAAAUCGUUUAAUUAAUAAAAUUAAUUUUGCAGGCGAUUUUUUCAUAAAAAUACACCAAUUCUAAAACAAUUACGUAAAUGUAAGGGAGGCAAUGUUACAAUAUGCUAACAAAGAUGAGUAAUUAGUGUGUAUUUUCAGUAUCACUAAGUCAAAUAUAUUUAUAAAAUGCACAGGAAAUGUUUACAACAAACAUAAAUAAUAGUAAAACAUGUUUUUUCUGGUUCUAAAAUUAAAAAAAAAACAUUUCUGUUUGUUUAUAAAGGCUAAUAAUGCACUUUGUAUGUAAAUAUCAGGCACAUUUUUUAAAAUGGACUUUUUAUGCAGCGACUUUCGUGCAGUAGCGUAACGUCGCAACAUGACCAGGUGCUAAACCAAUUCCUUAAAAUUUAAAAAAAAAAUCAGAUUUUAUUAAUUUUUUGUUUAAUGCCCCCGUCCGAAUAAAAGAAGCUUAUUUUUGUGCGUUUUGUCUGUUGGUCGGUCUGUCCGUCACGAUUAGAUUAACAAAUAACACUAGAGGCUAUUGUAAAUCUGAUUUAACCUUUAAUUUUUCAUUCAGAAAUAUUGCAGUAGUUUAAAGUAGCUAGAAUAGAUUGUUCCGGAUGUUUUGUGAAAAACAAAUCAAUGCCAAUGAAUAUUUGUUUGCUCUUCUAACUUAUAUUAGAUUUUAUUUCCAUGCUUAAACGUUGCAAGAAACACAUGAUCUUUAAUAUAUUGUUCCGUUUUUUUUAAUGUAAAUAGCAUAUAAAUGCUAAAUAAAAAUAUCUAUACUGAUUUAUAUUUCAUUAACUAUAAAGUUGUUCCGGAUAUUGUUUUAUAAAAAAUAAAUUAUGUCAAAUGAUUGUUUGAAAUCGCAUAAUUAACUAAUAUUACACUUAUAUUCUUUGACACUACGUCACUAUAGUUUAUUUACCAAUAUCAAUUGUUCCGAAUUUUUAACUUAAAACAAAUUUAUGUCAAAUAUUUUUUUUUUAAAUAUCCAUAAUAGGUUAUUCAGGCUAGACUUAUUUUACAGUUAAUUUUCUUGCCGAAACAUAAUAAAAGUUGUUUAAUCGGUAAAUAAUGUUCCGGAUUUUGUUUCGAAAAAGAAAUCGACCUACAUUACCUUAAUUUUCUUACAAAUCGUCGCCAAAAAUGAUCCGAAUUUUAUAUGAAAAAUCUAAUAACGCUAAUAAAUGUUUAAAAUCCCUCUUCUAAUAAAUAAAACAAAUACUUUUCUCAUUUACGAAAAUUGGUUGUUCCGGAUUUUUUAUGAAAAAUAGUUUAACUCUAUUUAUGUAAAAUCGCACUUCUCUCUUACACUACAUUUAACUUUCUAUCUAAAACGUUAGAAAAUCUAAUUAUCGUUAAUAUUAUGCUCUGAUUUUUAAGGAAAACAACUUUCUAACACCAAAGUAUGGUUUGAUAAAAUCUCCAUAAGGGUAUGGUACAUCUAAUUUUCAUAACAGACCAUCCCAGAAAUUUAAUUAACGGCAUUAUAUUAAUCUGGAAUUCUUAUUUUUUUCUCACUAUAAAUAUAUAAACAUCUGGAACAAUCUAUAAUAGAAACUUAAAACUAACGCGAUAUUUCGGAAUGUAACUUAAUUUUAAUCAGAUUUUCAAUAGCUUUUAGUCUUUUUUUUCUCGCUAUUAACAUAAUGGACAGACAAACUGACAGACAAAACUAAAAAAAAAGCGUCUUUAAUCCUUAAUUUAUAUAUAUGUACUAGAAAUAGUAUAUUUAAAACUAGAAAACAGAUCUAGGCAUUUUCCUUAAGGGCAAUAGAUCUACAGUAGUGCUUGUUCGUAGAAUGCCAGUAGGUCGACUUCCACAGGACAUUCUGUAUGGCAAUCUAAAGAAAGGCAGGAGAGCCGCUGGUCGCCCACUUUUACGUUAUACAGAUGUAUGCAAACGCGACAUUAAGCUCUUCAAAAUCGACACUAGCAGCUAGGAAGAGGUGGCACUGGAUAGAUCCACAUGCAGAAGGAGCAUAAAAAAACGGUCACGGAUUGCAGAUGUCAUACACAACAGAAGCAGAGAGAAGGGUGAAAAUGCAACGGCGCAUGGUGAUUACAUAUGUCCAACCUGCGAUCGCAGCUGUGUAUCAAGGAUUGUCCUCUUUAGUCACAAUUUUAGACGUAAUUUUUACAUGUUUAGUCGCAAUUUCUACCAACUCUGUAUAAGAACAGUGUCUAAAGUACAAAACAAUAAAUCUUUCUGCUUAGGAACUUACUAGCGUUUUUUUUUGGUGUGUAACUUUAUUUUGUUCCAUUUUGAUACCUAAUAUAUAAAGCAAAUUGUAAGUUAAUUGUAUUCCUGUAUGGAUUUACGUAUGUUUGUAUGCAUGUAUGUAUGUAUGUAUGUAAAUAUGUAUGUAUGUAAGUAUGUAUGUACAAUUUGUUAAUGAAACAUGCAGAGUAAUAGAGUUAUAAUAAUGCAUAAUUUGGGAUAUAUUGAUGCCUCCCCCCAGACCACUGAUAUCCGUGCGUUCGUCAUCCAUCGCAUAUUGUUGGUUACGUGAAAGUAAGGUUCCUCUUUUAAACCUUGCGAUCUAUAGGGCAUAUGAUGUAAAGGGCAUCUGUUUCUUUGACAAACGGUUUACGAGGGUGUCAUGUGGCAAGCACAACUACCAACCGCCUUUAUUAAGCGAUUCAAUUAUAUCUUUAAGUUAGCAUGUCUAGUUAAUACACAUUUAGAAAGAAAACAAAAUUUCAACAAACUCUUAUUUAUACUGAAAGCCUUAAAACACUUACUUAUAUGAUUUUGUUUAAUCAUUUCUCUUGUAAACAUAGUUUUGACAAAAUGAGAAAAUACAAUGCACAAUAAAACCAAUUAUUAGCCUAACCCUACACACACACAAAAGCCUAACACAGAAAAUCAACAUUUAAAAAAUAAAUUGCGACGUCUGGACGGGGUCGACUUCUUGACCGGUUCAAGUCCAGUAUAACUACCGUUUUGUUUUUCAUGCAAUUUCCCAAGAAUGAAAAUGGAAAGACUAUCCAGCUAAUGUUGCGGUGAGUACUUAAGAAAAUUAUGUAGUUCAUUUAUAUUUGACCUACUUCGUAUCUUUCAUAUUUAUUCUUUGUUUCAUCUUUUUAAAAUUUUCUAUAGGUUGUUUCUGAAUGUUCUGAAGCCUCUGUUGGAAGGAUCAAACGUGAUCAAACGAGGCUAGGAAAAAGUCUGAUACCAGUGACAUUAACAUUUACAGCUUUUUUCUGUCAUUCGUUUUUUUUACAUUCUUAACACGCAUGUAAAUAGAAAGAUUGGUUAAUUAGAUGUAAAUAGAAAGAUUGGUUAAUUAGAUGUAAAUAGAAAGAUUGGUUAAUUAGAUGUAAAUAGAACGAUUGGUUAAUUAGAUGUAAAUAGAACGAUUGGUUAAUUAGAUGUAAAUAGAACGAUUGGUUAAUUAGAUGUAAAUAGAAAGAUUGGUUAAUUAGAUGUAAAUAGAAAGAUUGGUUACUUAGAUGUAAAUAUAAAGAUUGGUUAUUUAGAUAUAAAGAUAUAUAUAGAAAUUCGUCAUUUACAUGUAAAUAGAAAGAUUGGUUAUUUAGAUGUAAUUAGAAAGAUUGGUUAUUUAGAUGUAAAAAGAAAGAUUGGUUAUUUAGAUGUAAAUAUAAAGAUUGGUUAUUUAGAUGUAAUGGAAAGAUUGGUUAUUUAGAUGUAAAUAUAAAGAUUCGUCAUUUACAUGUAAAUAGAAAGAUUGGUUAUUUAGUCGUAAAUAGAAAGAUUGGUUAUUUAGAUGCAAAUAGAAAGAUUGGUUAUUUAGAUGUAAAUAGAAAGAUUGAAAGUUUCAAAUUUGUUGAUGACUUUGCAGCUUAAUAACAUAUUUUUGUUUUUGUUCCUUUUUUAAAUCAUGAUAUCGCGACAUAGAUGUAAGUCAGUGAAUGAACUCUGUCUUGUAGACAUAGAUGUAAGGCAGGGAAUGAACUCUGUCUUGUAGACAUAGAUGUAAGGCAGGGAAUGAACUCUGUCUUGUAGACAUAGAUGUAAGGCAGUGAAUGAACUCUGUCUUGUAGACAUAGAUGUAAGGCAGGGAAUGAACUCUGUCUUGUAGACAUAGAUGUAAGGCAGGGAAUGAACUCUGUCUUGUAGACAUAGAUGUAAGGCAGGGAAUGAACUCUGUCUUGUAGACAUAGAUGUAAGACAGUGAAUGAACUCUGUCUUGUAGACAUAGAUGUAAGGCAGGGAAUGAACUCUGUCUUGUAGACAUAGAUGUAAGGCAGGGAAUGAACUCUGUCUUGUAGACAUAGAUGUAAGGCAGUGAAUGAACUCUGUCUUGUAGACAUAGAUGUAAGGCAGGGAAUGAACUCUGUCUUGUAGACAUAGAUGUAAGGCAGGGAAUGAACUCUGUCUUGUAGACAUAGAUGUAAGGCAGGGAAUGAACUCUGUCUUGUAGACAUAGAUGUAAGACAGUGAAUGAACUCUGUCUUGUAGACAUAGAUGUAAGGCAGGGAAUGAACUCUGUCUUGUAGACAUAGAUGUAAGGCAGUGAAUGAACUCUGUCUUGUAGACAUAGAUGUAAGGCAGUGAAUGAGCUCUGUCUUGUAGACAUAGAUGUAAGGCAGGGAAUGAGCUCUGUCUUGUAGACAUAGAUGUAAGGCAGUGAAUGAACUCUGUCUUGUAGACAUAGAUGUAAGGCAGUGAAUGAGCUCUGUCUUGUAGACAUAGAUGUAAGGCAGGGAAUGAGCUCUGUCCUGUAGACAUAGAUGUAAGGCAAUGAAUGAGCUCUGUCUUGAAGACAUAGAUGUAAGGCAGUGAAUGAGCUCUGUCUUGAAGACAUAGAUGUAAGGCAGUGAAUGAGCUCUGUCUUGUAGAUAGGUUUAAUAUUAUAAACUACAACAAAUCUAUAUAGCUCCCUCUGAAAAUGAAUGUGCCCAGGUUAGUCACUGGCUAUGUUUUCAUCUUGAGACACUGGCUAUGUUUUCAUCUUGAGACGGGGCGGAAUCUGGAGGGACUGAAGUAAGAACAUACAAGUAAGGCGGGGAUUAAACUCUGUCUGGUAAAUUAAAUGUAAUAUUAUUAACUGGAAUAAAUAAUUGUAUAAAUAAUGGAUUACAGGUAUUAACUCGGAGGAUCGGAAGAAUUUCUGUCUAUGUUUGAGCACUUAUAUUCAAUCUACACUCAUGUGCUGCAUUUAGGGAUGUGGAUUUUUAAUAACAGAUUUUUUUUUCUUCUAUUUUACAAAAUGUUAUUAUGUUUACGGUAAGUAGCUAAAGUGAACUAAAACAUUUUUUGAAAAAUUAUCAGUAUGAACAUUGUCUAAGGUUUUGAUCAUUAAACUCAUUAUUUAAACAGGUAAUAGGGGAAAAUAUCAGGUUAUCAUAAGCUAUACUAUGUGCAAAUAUAUAUAUAUAUAUAUAUAUAUAUAUAUACAGAGAGAGAGAGUCUAAAUCGACCGCCAAAGAACAAUGCUUAUGCCUGCGCUGGAUGUGGCAAAAGAUGUAGGUCACUGCUGGAGCUGGAUAGCCACAGGAAAUACUGCAUUCAUCAUUAAUCUAACGACUUGAAGACUAGCCUUAUUGUUAUUAUUGUGUUAAAAAAGAAAGAGUAUACAUUUUCUGGCGCUGCCAGGGUCAAGUUUCGUGAAAGAGAAACAAAAUUCAUUGUAGUCCUUUUAUCCGUUUCUACUGAGGAUCUUUCUGAUGAUAUGGCAGCUCUGCAGUAGUACCGACAGGCAACGAGAAUGUUCCUAGGAAUGUUAAGGGCCUUGAAGGUAUCUAUGAUGUUAGUUGGUAUUAUCCCCUUGGUUGAUAUAACAUUUGGGUAUAUUGUUAUUUUGGAUAACUUCCAUAAAUACUUUAUCUCCAAUCCUAGAUUCUCAUAUUUUCUUUGUUUUUCCAUUUCAGUUUUUCUUAAAUUAGGAGACACUGGUACAGCGAUGUCAAUAAUGGUAGCGUUUUUUUUUUUUUUAUAUCAGUAAACAGCAGAUCAGUGCGAUUAAAAUCUAUCUUUUUUUAAAAUCAAAACAGGUCUAACUCAUUGGCGAAUCUCACGCCAUACGUCGUCCAAACUGACUUUAAUAUCAGCAUUGUUAUUAUUAUUAUUAUGUCAGAAACGAACGAAUAUUCAUUCUCUGGCGCUGCCAGGAUAAAGGUUCGUUAAAGAGAAAUACAAUUUAUCUUAGUCCCUUUAACAGUUUCCACUUAUUAUUAAUAUCAUUUAAAGACGUUCCUACAUAUUAAAAAAGGGUCUCUAAGCGAAUUCAUCAGUUAAACUAGUCAUAUUUAUACAUGCUAAAUAUAAACUAGAACUUUAAUAAGAAAAUGUAUUGUUUUUCAAUCAGGUCCAAGUAACAAAGAGAACAAUCUAAUGUCAAAUGGAAGAAAGAGUGCUUAUUCACCUUAUUAUUGAAAUAGUGAAUCUCUCUUUGUGUUUAAAGAAAACCAAAAACAGAAGAUGUUUACUGUAAGGUUCGUCAUAUGAAGGGGUUAGCGCGAACACAGUUCCUCAUACGCAAAAAUUACGCACCCGAGUCACCCACAUUAGGGGUGAUCGCAGGCUUCAGCCCACCUGAAGUGCAAUGAGUGAGCCUCGACCUGGGAGAAGGUCGCCUUGAUCACCGUUUUUCCUAUGCCAGGUAUAGACAAGGGCCUUCAAGUGAUACAGUAGAAUCAGCAGAUUCACAAACGACGUCUAUUGAUCAAUAAAAAAAAACAAUAUCGAAGAUCUCACCUGGGCUUAUACUAACAGGCCUAAUGUCAAAGUCAAAACUUACAGGCCCAAUGUCAAAGUCAAAACUUAAAGGCCUAUUGUUAAAGUGAAAUUAAAAUGUCUUUUAAUAUAUAUAUAUAU